AAAUUGAAGAGUUUGAUCAUGGCUCAGAUUGAACGCUGGCGGCAGGCCUAACACAUGCAAGUCGAACGGUAACAGGAAGCAGCUUGCUGCUUUGCUGACGAGUGGCGGACGGGUGAGUAAUGUCUGGGAAACUGCCUGGUGGAGGGGGAUAACUACUGGAAACGGUAGCUAAUACCGCAUAACGUCGCAAGACCAAAGAGGGGGACCUUCGGGCCUCUUGCCAUCGGAUGUGCCCAGAUGGGAUUAGCUAGUAGGUGGGGUAACGGCUCACCUAGGCGA
rnacentral:rRNA from 1 species